AAAAUUGGCAAUUAGUGAUGCAUGGGUGCAUGGGCGUGUACAGGCCCAUGAAAUCAUUCCAUUUGAUCCACAAUUGAGUGUGAGCAAGUUUGAAAGUGAAUUGGAAUGCAAGGCAAAUGUGUAUGGAAGUUUGAAGUUUGAUCUUUGCCACUUGAUGAUAUCAUGUUCAAGCCAUGCGCAACCCUAGCAAUUCUUGUCCAAAAUGGAUGAAAUUAGACUUUUUAGGAAGGUUAGAUCAAGAGGAA
rnacentral:lncRNA from 1 species